ensembl:lncRNA
CCUGACUGACAUGACCUGUGAUCCAGUGAUUGACAGGAGAGGAAAGACAGUCCAACUUUGUUAACUCUUCGUUACGAUAUGCUCGAGAGGACAAAAUAUUUUGCACCUCGUUAUUGUUGGACCUCUGUGUGGAAACUGCAAACGGGACGUCAUAAGUGUGGUGCAUUGCUGUCCUCCUGCCCUUGCUGGCUGCGCUGAGUGUGAUGUAGCCUCAGUGUUUGUGUUUUAAAGGCUUUUUCCACCAAGAUGUCUGUUGAGAGAGAGAUGACCUUACCCAUCACACCAAGGGUAAUAGCGCUUGGGAAUAAUUUCAUGUCUGCAAGCCGCUGGAUGAUCAGUUUGGAGGGCAAGGUAUUUUAUGAGCCUGAGCAGAUGCAUGACUUUGCCAGCACCC